GAGGGUAUAGCUCAGUGGUAGAGCGCAGGCUUGGCAUGCAUGAGGUCCUGGGUCAACCCCCGGGACCUCCA
rnacentral:tRNA from 1 species